rnacentral:rRNA from 1 species
CCUACGGGAGGCAGCAGUGAGGAAUAUUGGUCAAUGGCCGGAAGGCUGAACCAGCCAAGCCGCGUGAGGGAGGAAGGCGCUGGGCGUUGCAAACUUCUUUUGCCGGGGGACAAAAAGCCGGACUCGUCCGGUCCUGAGGGUACCCGGAGAAAAAGCAUCGGCUAACUCCGUGCCAGCAGCCGCGCUAGUAGGUAGGAUGCGAGCGUUAUCCGGAUUCGUGGGGGUUAAAGGCUGCGAAGGGGGGCCGUUAACUCGGUGGUGAAAUCGCGGGGCUAAACCCCGCCGAGCCUUCGAAACUGGGUGGCUUGAGUGCGGCAGAGGGAUGCGGAAUGCGUGGUGUAGCGGUGAAAUGCGUAGAGAUCGCGCAGAACCCCGAUUGCGAAGGCAGCGUGCCGGG